AGAGUCCGACAGGAAAGGAGCAGCGAAUCCAUCCUGACCCCAAGUCCUGCGGGGCGCAUCGCAAGGUGUGAUCCGAAGCGUGGACAGGGGCAGCGACGGGCAGGGUAUAGAGCUUCUAAAACUACAAACUGAGGUCGCCGACCCUGUCGUCUGUAGGGGAAGGCAACACGCGGUCACGGCGGUACAUCGCGAGCCGGACGGCGGACCCACGUACGCGAGCC
rnacentral:ncRNA from 1 species